GGCCUACACUAGCAGACAUUUUUACAACCAUAUUCUUCUCAUCUCUCUUUCUCAGAUUCUUUCUUUGUUAGUGUGUCCAUGAAUCCACUCUUCUUAGCUUCUUUUUCUAGUACUGCUACUACUUCUCCUGCUGCGGUUACUUAGACUGCUAAACCUUCCACUAUUGAUUCUUAAUAAUUCUUCAUGUUUUACUACCUGGGUUAUAAUCUAGAUUUGGGAGAAAUGGGAUAUACACUGGAAAGUCAAAAUCUUUAAAUGCAUUUACAUGUUUCUUGAUUUUUUCUUCUUGUUUGAUUUUUAGGUGGAACUUGAAGAGACUUGUAAACUAGAUUUUUCUUGGCAGAUUCUUUGUUGGAGGGAUUUUGGAUUUCUGAUUUAAUAACUGAAUUUCGAAUCUUUGUUCGUUGGUCCAUUCUGUGUUCUGAGUUUUGGUUGGUGGUGGUUGCUAACAGGAUAAAGAGAGGGGAAAAAAAAAACAGACUUCUGUUUGGAAUUAGAAACUAAGAAUCUGAGGAUUCUUUGAUUCUUUCUUGUGGGUUGUGUGAAUUUCUUAUCUUGUUCUAUGUUGGGGCUUGUUUCUUGCACUUAAAUCUGAAAUUAUUUUGUAGCUCCUGUUGUUGGAUAAGAUAGCAUCUUCUAUCAUACCCACUUCCUCUUUUUGAUUCCACUUGUUUAUAGUGAAUUCGGAGUUUGGUGGACUUUGCUCCUUUUCAUUUCCUUGUGCCUCUUUUGUUCUUCUAAUAACUUUGAAUUCUCUUCACGUUGGGUUUUGCUAGACAGUUUCUGUAGAUUUGAUAGUGGGUCUCUUUCUCUCUUUGCCCUUUUAUAUUUUCUGCCUGGAAUUAGCAGUAAGACCCACUUCACCUCGGUACUGUUUCUUGGUAGCUUGCGUUGGCUACUGUUUUGGAUGAAUUUGCUCCAUGUAUUUGGGUUUGGUUUAAAGGUGGGGCAUCUACUUUGGAUGCUAUGUUGCUGGAUUGUAUCGGUAAUUUCCAUGCACUGGUUCGUUAAUGGUGAAAUUGUGGAGACCAAAACUGGUUUGCUCAGUGAUGGUGGCAAGAUGUGGCUCAGGCUCUGGGAAAAGAUCUCAGGGCUUAGUUGCAAGAUGCACCAUCACUACUACCAGUAUAUUGGGUCUAAAAGAGUAAGAAAAACAUGGUGGAGAAAGCUCUUGCUUGCAUGGGUUAUUGGCUGGAUCAUGGUCUCUUUAUGGAUCUUAUGGUAUAUGAGCUCUCAAGCCACUGAGAAAAGGAAAGAAACCCUUGCAAGCAUGUGUGAUGAGAGAGCCAGGAUGUUACAGGAUCAGUUUAAUGUUAGCAUGAACCAUGUACAGGCCAUGUCCAUUUUGAUCUCAACCUUUCACCAUGGCAAGGACCCUUCUGCUAUUGAUCAGAGGACUUUUGCAAGGUACACAGAAAGAACUGCUUUUGAGAGGCCCCUCACAAGUGGCGUGGCGUAUGCUGUGAGGGUGCUCCAUUCCGAAAGGGAACAAUUUGAGAAACAACAAGGCUGGACUAUUAAGAGGAUGGAUACCCUUGAACAAAAUCCAGUUCAUAAAGAUGACUAUGUCCCAGAAUUAUUGGAGCCAUCCCCAAUUCAAGAAGAAUAUGCCCCUGUCAUCUUUGCUCAGGAUACCAUUUCACAUGUGGUUUCUCUUGAUAUGCUGUCUGGAAAAGAAGACAGGGAAAACGUGUUGCGUGCUAGAGAAUCGGGAACUGGGGUUCUAACUGCUCCUUUUAGGUUACUCAAAACCAACCGCCUUGGAGUUAUUUUGACAUUUGCUGUCUACAAGAGAGAUCUUCCCUCCAAUGCAACUCCUAAUGAGAGGAUUCAAGCGACUGAUGGGUAUCUUGGAGGAGUCUUUGAUAUUGAAUCACUAGUGGAAAAGCUACUUCACCAGCUUGCAAGCAAACAAACUAUCCUAGUGGAUGUGUAUGACACUACCAACCAGUCUUACCCCAUUAGCAUGUAUGGUUCAAAUAUAUCAGAAGAUGAGUUGAAACUUGUUAGCACCCUUAAUUUUGGAGAUCCCCAUAGAAAGCAUGAGAUGCAUUGCAGGUUCAAGCAAAAGCCACCUUGGCCAUGGUUAGCUACAACAACUUCAGUUGGUGUCCUUGUGAUUGCGCUGCUAAUCGGACAUAUUUUCCAUGCAACUGUCAAUCGAAUUGCCAAAGUUGAAGAUGAUUACCAUGAGAUGAUGGAGCUUAAGAGACGAGCUGAGGUAGCUGAUGUUGCAAAAUCUCAGUUUCUUGCCACGGUUUCGCAUGAGAUCAGAACCCCAAUGAAUGGUGUUCUAGGAAUGUUGCACAUGCUUAUGGACACAGAUCUAGAUGUGACUCAACAAGAUUACGUCAGAACUGCGCAAGCCAGUGGAAAAGCUUUAGUUUCACUAAUUAAUGAGGUUUUAGAUCAAGCAAAAAUUGAAUCUGGCAAGCUAGAGCUUGAGGAUGUGCAAUUUAAUCUGCGGGCAAUUUUGGAUGAUGUACUGUCACUCUUUUCUGACAAGUCUCAAGGGAAAGGAGUAGAGUUGGCAGUUUACAUCUCUGAUAAUGUCCCUGAAACGCUAAUCGGUGAUCCAGGGAGGUUUCGGCAAAUCAUCAUCAAUCUCAUGGGAAAUUCAAUAAAAUUCACACAUCAAGGGCAUAUCUUUGUCACUGUCCAUCUUGUGGAAGAGGUGAUUGAUUCCAUAGACGUGGAGACAGAAUCAUCAUCAAGAAACACAUUGAGUGGUUUCCCUGUUGCAGACAGACGCCGUAGUUGGACAGGAUUUAGGACUUUCAGUCAAGAGGGAUCUAUUCAUACUCUUUUGCCUUCCUCUCCUGACCUUAUCAAUCUAAUUGUUUCAGUUGAGGAUACAGGAGAAGGGAUCCCUCUUGAAGCCCAAUCUCGAAUUUUUACUCCUUUUAUGCAGGUUGGUCCAUCCACUUCCCGAAAAUAUGGAGGCACAGGAAUUGGCUUAAGUAUAAGCAAGUGUUUGGUUGGCCUUAUGAAUGGGGAAAUUGGGUUUGAAAGCAUUCCCAAGAUUGGAACCACUUUUACAUUUACUGCUGUUUUUGCCAAUGGUUCCUCAAAUUCAAGUCAGUACAAGAGCCACACAAUCAGCAACCAGUCUAACACAGUCCCUUCCGAAUUUCGGGGCAUGACAGCAUUAGUUGUGGAUCCCAGGCCUGUUAGGGCCAAGGUUUCAAGAUAUCAUGUCCAGCGGCUUGGAAUUCAUAUUGAAGUGGUUUCUGAUUUGAGUCAAGCUUCAUCAAGCAUAAGCAGUGGGAAUUCAGUAUUUAACAUGGUCCUUAUCGAACAAGAAGUAUGGGAUAGGGAUUCAAGCAUUUCAACUCUCUUUGUCAAUAAUAUAAGGAAAAUUAAUUAUGGUACUUCUCCAAAACUGUUCCUUCUGGCUAAUUCUGUUAGCUCUUCCAGAACAAACACUGCAACUUCAGGUGUUGAUACUCCAGUUGUCAUCAUGAAGCCCCUAAGAGCAAGUAUGCUGGCUGCAUCUUUACAACGGGCAAUGGGUGUUGGAAACAAAGGGAUUCCACGCAAUGGGGAGCUCUGCAACCUUCUUCUUGGAAGAAAAAUUCUUAUUGUGGACGACAAUAGUGUGAACCUCAAAGUGGCUGCUGGGGCUUUGAAAAAGUAUGGAGCUGAAGUGGUCUGUGCAGAGAGUGGGGAAAAGGCAAUUAAAUUGCUUACCCCUCCUCACGAUUUUGAUGCUUGUUUCAUGGAUAUCCAGAUGCCUGAAAUGGAUGGAUUUGAAGCUACCAGGAAAAUUCGGGAUAAAGAAAACAAUUUCAACAAUUCUAUUCAAAAUGGAGAUGCUUCAGUUGGAGCCUAUGAAAAUCUUCCAAAUUGGCAUGUUCCCAUUUUAGCAAUGACUGCAGAUGUAAUCCAAGCUACACAUGAGGAAUGCCUAAAGUGCGGAAUGGAUGGGUAUGUUUCCAAACCAUUUGAAGCCGAACUACUAUAUCGGGAGGUUUCACGCUUUUCCAAUCUAGUCCCAAUGUGAUAUUAUAGAAGACAGGCAGGCUAAUAUUGAAAGUGUGCUCAUGACUUGAGCUCAAGCAGCUGUUCUCUGGGAUGCUUUUGAGAUAGCUGAAUGGGUGAAAAGCUUCUCCCAAGAGAAAACAUAUGUUUUGUUGCAGAGAGUGUAUAUAGAAGCCAUGAUUGAUUGGGCUUGAGUUUCAUUUAUUGUUUUGCGAGCCACAGUGAAGCUGGUUCAUUUUUCCUUGUAAAGUUGUUCUCAGUUGGUUAGUGUUAUUAUGUGAGACUUGUGCAGAGAAAAAGCUGUUAGGGUAGGACUCCGAAAUUCGAUACUUCUGAAUUGAUGGGAAAGAAAAUCAAGUUAUCUGAUUGUAUCAUAGAAGCUACAAAAAUGGCAGCCUCUUAUCCUUGUGGUAAUAAAAUUCUUGCUGAUGAUCCAACGAUCUCUCUUUCUGGAGGAUUAUCUAUUUGUAUCAUAGAGAUAGAUUCAGAUGAAAGAAUGAAAGAUUCUCCAAGUCAAGAAAGGAUAGGUUAGUGUAUAUUAUCUCAUCAAUAAAAUGCUGAUGUGCAGUUGUACUGUCUCCUUUCUUCUUGUUUUUGCUUCUAACAUACAGAAAAAUUUGUUGUUCCAGGAAUCCAUGUAACUUAUAUAGUGACAGACUGUGUAUCAAAUUUGAUUUAUCUCAUGAUUCUUGUCUGAUUGUAACAUUUUGACUCCAUAUGUUUUUUUGUACUUUUUCUUUUGGAAUAAUUGCUAUUUAGCCCUCA